UUUUCUCUUCUCUCCAUCUUCACCACCCAUCGAUUUACUGCAACCAUCAAGGUAAUUUCUCCUAAUUCUUGUUUCUUCGAUUUUGCUUGUUGAAUUUGAAAGGGUUUUUGCACUUCUCUUCCAUUCUUGUUCUUCUUAAUCGAUGGCUAAAGGUCUUGAGUAGAUAUUGGUGGGAUGGAGUCUGUUGUGUGAGUGAGGAGGAGGGAUUACCGGAACAGUAGUUCCGGCGGCGUGGUGGCUGCCGGCAUGACUUUUGCUGUGUUUUUAUUUCCCCUGUUUUGUACAGCAGCAGGGUCGUAACUUGCGAUCCGUUUUCAUCUGUUUCUGUCAUCAAACCCCAUCAAUAUAGGUACCAUUGGAAAGCUAUCGUCGUUGGCUUUCCAACGGUACCUUCGGAUCGUCAAUCCGACACCGGACGAGGGAGUUAUGAGCCAAUCAAGUCAGGGUGUCGGGUCUGUGCGCGAAGGUUUCCGCGCGAGUUUGAGUCGACCUUCCGGCGUCAAAUCGAUGCCGUGAGGGAGAAUAAGUUUAGGGAUUUUGUAGCUCAUGUCGUAGACGUUCUAAUCAUAGGUUUUCUUCUUGAGAUCUAAGGUCGAAUUGGCCAGAAUAGACGUCGAGAUGUAGCUCCAUAUGUGUCGAAUAUGAGUUUUAAUAUGUUAUGCUUAUUUUAAUUUUUAUUUGGGAAUUUGAAUUAGAUUUUUGAUGAUUGUUUCACCUUGAACACAUAAAUAGAUAAUCAAGACAUUUGCUUUUAAUAUUAUUAGCCAAGAAUUGAAAUAAAUUAUAAGGAUUAUGGUGAUCUAAACUUAGUAUAUUAUAUAAUUAAAUGAUAUGAUUAUAAUGAAGUUAGAUUAGUAUAAUUUAUACUAGUAAUUGAAACUAUGAAUUUAUAAUUUGUAGAUUCAUAAAAUGUUCAAAAUAUGGUCUUCGGCUUCAAGUGUAUUGUAGAAUUAUCAAGAAUAUAUUCAAGAGAGAUUAAAAAUAUUGUUUAAAGAAAUGAGAGCUUAUUCAAGAAUAAGUGCUUGUAAUGAAACUAAGUUUAAAGUGUUUCAAGUGCUAGGAGCGGCGCAUCCAAGGCUCGAGGAGGACAACCGAAGCAAGCUUGAAGAGGUUUGAAUUCAAUCACUUAAGGUGGGGUUUACUUCUAUCUGUAAGCGUAGUUGUUACAUGGUUAUAAUCAUUGUUGUGUUGUGCGUCAUUCAUAUGAACUAAUGGGACCCACAAGGGGUCGGAUCCACAAGGGAUCAAAGAGCUGAACGGCCCACAAGGGGUCAGGUCCACAAGGGACCGAGACUAGUCUCACAAGAUGUCAGCUAAGUGAAAAAUAUAAGAGUUCAACAUGUUAUGAUUCAUUACACAAUUGGUUAUAACUGCUUGCAGUGUUUACCCCACUGAGUGUGCUUGCACACUCAUACCCUAUUAUUUAUGAUUCUUUUCAGGUUAAGGAGUUGACGGCAAGACGGCAGACAUGGAGCUCCACAUUCUCCCGUUCUAUUAUAUGAUGAAGUAUUAUAUGUUGCUG
rnacentral:lncRNA from 1 species